CUGCAGCCCGAGUGGUGAUCGAUUUUAUUGAGCCUAAAGCGUCCGUAGCCGGACUAGUAAACCCUUGGGUAAAUUGGGCAGCUUAACUGUCCAAAUUCCGAGGGGACUGCUAGUCUUGGGACCGGGAGAGGUCAGAGGUACUCAAGGGGUAGGGGCUAAAUCCUGUAAUCCUUGGGGGACCACCAGUGGCGAAGGCGUCUGACUAGAACGGAUCCGACGGUAAGGGACGAAACCCUGGGGCGCGAACCGGAUUAGAUACCCGAGUAGUCC
rnacentral:rRNA from 1 species